rnacentral:piRNA from 1 species
AAGUUCUAUACAAUUUGACUGUGGCUUCC